rnacentral:rRNA from 1 species
UGAGCAAUCUGCCCUUCUCUUCGGAAUAAGCGUGGGAAACCGCGUCUAAUGCCGAAUACGACCUCCUUUCGCAUGAUCGGAGGUGGAAAGCUCCGGCGGAGAAGGAUGAGCUCGCGGCCUAUCAGCUAGUUGGUGUGGGUAAUGGCCCACCAAGGCGACGACGGGUAGCCGGCCUGAGAGGGUGACCGGCCACACUGGGACUGAGACACGGCCCAGACCUCCGUACGGGAGGNAG